CCUACGGGAGGCUGCAGUGAGGAAUAUUGGUCAAUGGGCGAGAGCCUGAACCAGCCAAGUCGCGUGAGGGAAGACGGUCCUAUGGAUUGUAAACCUCUUUUGUCGGGGAGCAAAAAGGCCUCGUGAGGCCACAAGUGAGAGUACCCGAAGAAAAAGCAUCGGCUAACUCCGUGCCAGCAGCCGCGGUAAUACGGAGGAUGCGAGCGUUAUCCGGAUUUAUUGGGUUUAAAGGGUGCGUAGGCUGUCGGAUAAGUUAGAGGUCAAAUGUCGGGGCUUAACCCCGUGCCUGCCUCUGAUACUGUUCGACUAGAGAGCGGAUGCAGCAGGCGGAAUGAGUAGUGUAGCGGUGAAAUGCUUAGAUAUUACUCAGAACACCGAUUGUGCAGGCAGCUUGCUAAUCCGCAUCUGACGCUGAUGCACGAAAGCGUGGGUAGCGAACAGGAUUAGAUACCCCAGUAGUC
rnacentral:rRNA from 1 species